ACGCUACAUUCUGUUACAGAGUAGAAAAACAUUCAAGGUUUAAUGCUUUCAAAUCUCUUUUGUUGUACUUUUACAGACUCUUCCACUCCAAGUCCAGCCCCAGCAUGUUCCUCUCCAGUGUGUCUCCUUUCCUCUCCGUCAUCGGUCACUCCCUGACCUACAUCAUCCACACCUACAUCAUCCCCCUCAGAAAGCUGCUAUCUGCUUCCAUCAAACUGGGUUGACAGUUUUCAGAUACCAUGGGAGAAGCUCCCUGAAGAGUUGGUACAGAGUUUGGGAAGACAAAAAAGGCCGAGUGCACGACUACGAUGAGAAAUGAAACCCUGGAAAAGGAUGAUGGCCAGGUAUCCAAUGUCUCUUCAAGAUGUGAUUGAUGGCGGUGUUAUUGGACUUGGAUAUCAUUUCCUGGUAAAGCAGCUCAAAAUGUCAAACAACCUGAUACACCAAAGAUAAAGAAACGCAAUGUGACAUCAGAUGAUGACACCGAUGAAACACCUGCCAAACAAAGAGCAAGUGUUCGAGGCCUGUUUUGACGAGAAGGAAGAGCAGCCGUUCCAUUUCGUUGAGAAGACGAGCCUUGCUGAGGAGGCUCACAUGGAGAAUGUGCCACCAACACCAUGCUUUAUUGUGUGUGUGGUAAGUAAACUGAAACCAAAUCUGCAAGCUUUCUCUAAUGUGGUUCCAACACCAACUUGUACUCUUGUCUUGUUUACUUUCAUGUUGUCUUGCAGCCCACUUUUAGACACUAGCUAACAAUUCUCCUGACAAGUUCUGCCAACAGUAGAUGGUGUGAGUCUCAUCCUAUAUUGAAAUAAGGGCCAUUGAAUUACUAUUUAUGGCUGAGACUGAAACCUUUGCCAUUAAAGUGUAUUUUUUGUUCAUUCUGCUUAUUCUUAGCGUCCUCCUACUUUGCCAGUGAGACAUUUAUGUGGAGCAUCGACCAAGAGGUUGUUAGAAAAUAGAAAGCAUUUGACAAUACACCUGGGGUUGUUUCUAUUUCUUUCUUAAAGGUGUUUCUUUUCAAUACAUCCUGAGAAAGGCUCCAAAGUUGAGUAGAAGAAGAAAAACUGUUCUCAGUCAAUCCCAGGAUCCUCUCUGAUCUCAGACCUUGCUGACUAUGGGCGGACCUACCAGUGAUGCUGAGGGAUGAUAUAAUAAAAGGUACACUGGGUGUUAUGUACACUGUAGGAUUUUGUUGUUAGUUAAAGUUUUACUAAAUGUAUAGUUUUACUAGAUAUAUUGUCUAGUGCAAUUACUGUAUGUUCAGCUUUACUGCACUGGUGUUGUACUUUCAAGUUGAGUAAAACUUGUUAAUUCCAUUCCUUAAUUGCUAGCAAGUUCACUGGAGGUAUGCAGUUCACGUUCUUAAAGGAAUAGUUCACUUUAAAGUUAAUUUCAGUCAUUAUCUACCCACCCUCAUGCUGAUGAGAAGUCUGGUGUAGUUUUUUUAUCCACAAAACAUUGCUGGAGUUACGGAGCAAAACAGCUUUCAGUAUUUUUUCCAAAACAAUAGAAGUAUGUACAGGUCAGUGCUAAAACAUAAGAAAACACCCCCUCUAUAGAUCUGCAUUGUUUUGGGAAAAAUCUGAAAGCUUCAUGUUUUGUAGGUUAAAAAAACUGCUCUGGACUUAUCAGCACGAGGCUGAGUAGAUCAUGAAUGAAUUCUCUUUUUAAAUGAACUUUUCCUUUAAGCCAUAUUUAAAUAAUGCAUAAUUCAUAAUGAAUGCUCUAAUGAAGGAUGCAUGAUUCCUGUCCUGUCCAAGCUAAUGUGAUUUGUUCACACUUAUUAGAUCAUCAAUCAAGGAUUGUUUGUUCUGUUACUUCAUAUGUAAAUUGGUAUUUGACAAGAUUAGUGUGAUUUUUUUCUUUUUCUUUUUUAGUUUAAUAGUUUACGGGCAGCGCCUUAAUUUCAAUUAAUUUUUAAGGGAAUACACGGGGUCCUCGGGUUACGACGUCCUCAGCCUACGGCAUUUUGUCGUUACAUCGGAACCGGUUAUGUGGAGAUAGUUAGCGAGCAGAGAGGAUGAAUACAUCGUCACUUGGUGCAUUAAGAGGGCUUUGUUUACAUUUGCUGGUUUUAUGCUACCUUGGAUUGUGCUACCUUUGCUAACUUUCUGCCCUUCAUUAUUACCCUAGCCGCGCUAGACAACCCACGGCAACGAAUUUAAUUCUCUGCCAGGGUGGGUCUAGUUACCCUCCAUAAGGCUCGAGGCUGAAUGCUCCUAAAACUGGCCGGACCAAUCACCAUGAAGUGUAGAGUCAGAAGGCGGGCGUAACUAAGUGACGACAGAGGCGUGACGAUUCUGACAGAAACAACCAGCGCACAAUAAACAGUUAUCUUUCGACUCGGCUUUGGCCACAGCCCUUUUAGAUUUGAAGCUAAAAUUCAACUUGAAAGAUAAACAAAGGACGGCACUGAAGUGUUUCAUUGAGAAGAAAGACGUAUUUGGACUUAUGCCGACGGGAUAUGGCAAAUCCUUAAUAUACCAGUUGGCUCCGCUGGUUGGGAAGCUAAUGGGACUUAGCCACAAUCCGCCGGUGCUCUAGGAACUACGUCAGCCUAUUCGUUGCUUUGAUUGGUUGUAUACCUACCCAAUUGCUGCAGAGUGAUUUGAUAGACAACCUUUUAGCCUGCCUCCCUCCCUGUCGAGCGUGCCUAGACCCUUGUGCCUUCAGAACAUGGGGUCUAGCGUGGCUAGGCUACUUCAUUAUGGCUCCCACGCAGAAGUCAGACUCUUCUGAUGGCAGUGCCUUGAAGAAAAGGUAAGCCAUCUCCAUGGAAGUGAAAUGAGAUAUAAUAAAAUGCUCGGAACAUGACUUUUCCGAAGAACUGAUAUUGUGAUGCAUGUAAUGACUUUGUUUAUGUUUUCGCCGGAGUUCCGACUUACAGCCCAGUGUAGCUCUGAUGGUAUUUUUUGGAGAGAUUUACAACACAGUAGAUGGAUUAUGACAUGAUCAGAUAUUUUUAAGCUCAAGUUCCAAGUGAACUUGUGAACAGUUCUUGCAUGAUGUUCUUCUCAGUCACAGAUGUGUUGUGAUUUGUAAAACUUCAAGCAUUUGAUGUUUGC